rnacentral:rRNA from 1 species
CCCAGUCGAGCGGCGAACGGGUGAGUAACGCGUGGAUUAUCUGCCCUGAGGUGGGGGAUAACCCGGGGAAACUCGGGCUAAUACCGCAUACGCACUAUGGUGGAAAGCCGGGGACCGCAAGGCCUGGCGCUAAUAGAUGAGCCCAAAUCGGAUUAGCUAGUUGGUGGGGUAACGGCCUACCAAGGCGACGAUCCGUAGCUGGUUUGAGAGAACGACCAGCCACACCGGAACUGAGACACGGUCCGG